rnacentral:rRNA from 1 species
GAUGAACGCUAGCGGCAGGCCUAACACAUGCAAGUCGAGGGGUAGCAGGAUUAAGCUUGCUUAAUUGCUGACGACCGGCGCACGGGUGCGUAACGCGUAUGCAACCUACCUUAUACUGGGGUAUAGCCCGGAGAAAUUCGGAUUAAUCCCCCAUAGUACUAAUGAAUCGCAUGGUUUAUUAGUUAAAGCAUUGCGGUAUAAGAUGGGCAUGCGUCCUAUUAGCUAGAUGGUGAGGUAACGGCUCACCAUGGCUACGAUAGGUAGGGGGCCUGAGAGGGUGGUCCCCCACACUGGUACUGAGACACGGACCAGACUCCUACGGGAGGCAGCAGUGAGGAAUAUUGGUCAAUGGGCGCAAGCCCGAACCAGCCAUGCCGCGUGCAGGAAGAAUGCCCUAUGGGUUGUAAACUGCUUUUAUUUGGGUAUAAACCUCUUUACGUGUAGAGAGCUGAAGGUACCAAAUGAAUAAGCACCGGCUAACUCCGUGCCAGCAGCCGCGGUAA